rnacentral:lncRNA from 1 species
AAAGAAGAGAGGCAGGCAGAAAAAAGAUUUCAGAAGAUAAUGACAGGAGAACUUCAAAAUUUGAUUAAAAAUUUCAGCCCACACACCCAAGAAUCUCUGAGAUCCAAGCAGAACAAACACAAAGUAAGUCACACUUCGAUACAUCGUAGUCAAAUUGCUGAAAGCUAAAGAGAAAAUAUUAACAGCAGCUGAGGGCAGGGGGAGUGCUUCACAUGCAGGGCAACAAUGGUAAAAAUAACCUCUGAGAUUUCAUCAGAAGAAGUGCAAGCCGGAAGACAAUAGAAUGACAUCUUUAAAGUGUUAAGAGAAAGAAACUGUCAACAUAGAUUUCUAUAUGCAGCCAAAACAUCCUUCAAAAAUGAAGAUGAAAUCAUAUCAUUUUCAGGCUAUGAAAGCUGAGAAAAUUUGUCACCAGCACACUUUCACUACAAGAGCUGUUAAAGGAAGUUCUUCAGGCUGAGAGGAAAUGAUACCAGAUGGAAACCUGGAUCUAAACCAAGGAGUGAAGAGUACUGAUAGCACCAUGGAAGCCCUCUGUGCAUCUGGCGAAGAGGCAGGGAAAAGAAUUACGUGGCAGGCCUGGGCACCAAGGCAGGGAGCGAGGAGUGAAGUCCACAGAAGCCACCCUGGAGCGCCGCCCUGGAUUCCUCUCAACACAGGCGUCUAAACACGUGCAGGUGUCUGCAUUUCCUUCCAGGCUGAACUAGGGCUGGCUGUGUUGCAGUUGGGAGACUGGUCCCAGGACAUGAUAGCACUCUCUAUAGGGCUGGUGGCUUUUCCUACUGAAUCGGGCUGAGCCUCCCAACCGGAAGCCCCGGAACUAGGCUGGUCUCCUAGAAGUGCACGCUGGCUUUCUGCUAGGUGCACCUGAAUGUCAGACACAGGCUUUGAUAAACGCAUCCAGCCACAUGGGGGCCCAGUGCCCAGGGACUUCUAAAGGACUCGAAUUGGAGAGUAGUUUGUGCAGCUGCACUCUGGUGACACCAACUUUGUUGCGACUCUCCAAAGAGGUAGUGAUCAAAGAGGUCACAGGAGUGGCCAGAUGUAGCUGCAUGGCCCUGGCCUGUGGUGUGCCCCUGGCAUUUGGUGAACAAAGAAGUGAGGAGAUGGGGUGAGUGUCUCCAACAAUGAGGCCACCUGCACCAUGGGGGGCACCGGAUGCCAAGAAGCCACAGGGCAAAGCUACUGAACAUCAAACCAGGUCACCUCCCGCUGGAGCUCAGAAACAGGGAGCUGUGAGAAAAGGCUAAUGAGGCUGUAAAGGCAGCAUUUCGGGCACCUGAGGCAGGAGAGAUGCCCACAGAUGAGGCACGGACCUGUGCCAGCCCCCACCCCAGCGUUCAAAACAGGGCAUCCUUCCCCAGGGAGACCUUCCCCCUCCUGCCAAGGCCCCAGACUGUCCUGUGCAAACUCAGCCAGGGGUGGCCCCGUUACACCUUCCUGCCAGUCUGCCUUUACCAAUGUGCCUUGCGGUGGGUGCCGUGCUGGGUGAGGGGCCAGGCCAUCGUGCCUCCUUCAGGAACAUGCCACCCAGGAACCAGGCAGGUUCCUCAUCCUCAGCACUACUGACAUCUGGGGCCAGAAGAUUCUUUGUUGCGGGGCUAUUCUGGGCACUGUAGGAUGUUGAGAAGCAUCCCUGGCCUCUACCCACUAGGUGCCUGCAGCACAACCGCAAGGUAUGACAACCAAAAAACCUUUACAGACAUUGCCAAAUAUCCCCGGGGUUGCGGUGGGGGCAAAACUGCCCCCGAUUGUGAACCGCUGGGAUAUGUUCAUUGUGAAAAUCCUGAACUCUCAAAUCUUUGCUGGACUUUUAAAUUGGAAGGGUCAUUAGAGAUGCACAGUCCCCUCUUUUUAGAAGGCAGAGAUGAGUUAGAAUGGACUUUUUUCCAGGUUGUGAUCAGCAUCAUCAAUGGCAUGUACUAAUUGCUACGACAAAUACUCUAUAGGCACCAUCUCUUUUCUUUGGCCCAACAAUCCCAUGAGGGUUGCGUUAUUCAUGUCCCAUUUUACAGAUGAGCCAAUUAGGCUGAGACUUGGCAGAGCUGGGGCAACUCUCCCAAACCACCUGCCAUGGGUACCAUUCCUCCACUGAGAGAAGCCCAAAGGAAGCUACUCAGGCGAGGCUCUCUUUAUUCUCAGACCUUCCAUAAUCCCGUGCAUCUGAAAAGCACAAAUACUACAGGCAAAGCAGCCUGCUUACAAAUGAUGCUUAAUUUACAGUAAAUAACUAAGUUAAUUAGAAGUAAUGAUCCCCCAGACAGUCUCAACAUCUAAUUAUUCUUUUUAAAAAUGUGUGGUUGCUGGAUGCACUGCAGAGAGAUUAGAAAAACAACACAGAGAGAAUUCUGCAUUCCAAUUUUCAAUUUAUCUCUCUGCAUUAUUAAUUAAUAAUAAUUAAUAUUCAGACACUCACAUUUUUAUUUACAAUUCCAGGCAUGAAUUCUUUAUGAACGAUCAUAUGAACUUUUAAAUUUAAUUAAGUAAUUUGGAAGUAAUUAAUGUGUAAAUUCAGAAUCAUGGCAUAAGAUAAAUGUUGUGGUUGUUUAUCUUAAGAGUGCAGUGUUUGUUACUAAUGACCCUUCCGAGAUGCAAAAUCACUGGAAAAUUAUAAGCCAUCAUAAGCCUGGCAUUUCUUCUUUAAGUAGCGACAUUUUCUACUAACCCACCCGCUGGCUGAUUGCUCCCUUCAGAGGGCGAGGCUGUUCAAUCCACGCCGGCAAACACCGCAUCUCCGAGCUCAGUGUAGCAAUGAGGUUUAAGCACCGAGUCUACCAGCAGGAGAAGGUGCUGGGAAAGUCAGCAGGGAAGGGCUUGAGGGAGCUCAAAACCACUUCCCCGGCAAAACAGGACUUUUCUUGGAGAGUUUUGAGAGAAUAUAUGAAAAAAAGGACUUUGUAAACUGUCAAGUGUCUUAAAUAUCUGUGAUGUUCCCAUCGUAAACGCUUCAUUUACCCAACACUGUGUGGAAGGGUAAUUUUGAGACGACUGGAUUUUGAGAUACUGCAUUUUGAGAUGACUGAAGCUCAGCAAGACUUUUGAAAAGGAUAAUACAGCUGUUUGGGGAUAGAAUUAUUCUACCUUGCCCUUGCCUUUUUGGGCAGGGUGUUGAACAAUGAUAGGAGCUAUGACGACUGAUGUUUAUUGAGGCUUUUCUCUGUGCCAGAACUGGGCUUGUGGCUGUGGACACGUGAUUUGGAGAAUCCCAUUUAAUCCUCACCUACGCCUGGGAGGAGGGCACAAGUUUUGUUCCUAUUUUAGCGAUGCCAAAACUAGGGCUCCGAGGAGUUAGGAGAAGUGCCAGAGGCUGCACAGCUGGGCUGCGUCGGGGCUGAGAUUUGAACAGGUUGCUCAGCUCAGCCAUCCCCGCACCUCGCACAGGCUGCCCGCAGUGGCUCCCGAGCUGCUGUGAACAUUGGCCAUUGCUGUGGACAGCAACGCAGUGCCAGGCGCGGGGCCAUGUAUCUCCAUCCUAAAUGAAG